GACGAACGCUGGCGGCGCGCUUAAGGCAUGCAAGUCGAACGAAGCUUCAGGGCUUGCCCUGAAUGACUUAGUGGCGAACGGGUGAGUAACACAUGAGAAACCUGCCCUAAAGAUUGGAAUAACAUUGGGAAACCAGUGCUAAUACCGAAUAAGCUCACAACAUCGCAUGUUGUAGUGAGAAAAUGGAUUACCGCUUUAGGAUGGUCUCGUGGCCUAUCAGCUUGUUGGUGUGGUAACGGCACACCAAGGCUACGACGGGUAUCUGGUCUGAGAGGAUGUCCAGACACAUUGGGACUGAGAUACGGCCCAAACUCCUACGGGAGGCAGCAGCUAGGAAUCUUGCGCAAUGGACGAAAGUCUGACGCAGCGACGCCGCGUGUAGGAAGAAGGCCCUAGGGUUGUAAACUACUUUCAGUAGGGAAGAAAAUGACGGUACCUACAGAAGAAGCACCGGCCAACUAUGUG
rnacentral:rRNA from 1 species